GGCGGUAGAUGCAAAGUAAACUGGUGGCUCGUCACGUCCCCGGUCGAGCAUGGCGGCCUCGUCAUCCCCAACAUGGAGCGAUUCGCGCGUGCCUUACGCCUCCGCUGGCUCUGGCUGGCGUGGACGGAUCCGGCAAGGCCAUGGGCACGCCUGGAGCUG
rnacentral:rRNA from 1 species